AGCGGUGUCUCGCCGUUUCGCUCAUUGGCCCCGUCUAAGUCCAUUAAUUGCAACCGAAGCUCUUUUUAUGGAUUUCUCACUUAUCCGCAUGAAGACAAUACAAGGACCAGCCACACCAGCUCUCCUGACCAGAAGGACCAUGGACACAGACACAGACGUAGAAACAAAGGCUUGAGCUGGCACUUAGGAGACCAAUGGCCUCAACAUACCCGAGUGGCACACACAUUAUCUCGUAAUUUCCACAAUCACUGACCCGUGAUUCACAAUGAAUUCAUAACGUGGUUUGGAAAGGGGAUCAGAGUCCAGAGAGGCCACACAGUAGUCCACAUACAGACGCAGAAGAGGGUGCAGAGGAGCGGACACCGCCGCCUCCAGGAACACUGGCUCCCCCUGCAGUCCCCCACUUGGCGGCCUUCUUGGUAAUGCACUUCGAGCAGUUAUCGGGAAUCUAUUGGUGCGAUCCAGUUGUCCAAAGGGCCCUUCUUACGAGUAGUAAGAUGACCGAAAAGAAGUUACGCAAAAUGACACGAUGGCACGUCCCCCUAAACACUUCUGACGAGAAGCGAACUUGGACAAGUGAAAGGACCCCCAGUUCAAGUCCUUUUUAGGCAAGUCCCCCACUUGGCGGCCAUCUUGGUAAUGCACUUCGAGCAGUUAUCGGGAAUCUAUUGGUGCGAUCCAGUUGUCCAAAGGGCACUUCUUACGAGUAGUAAGAUGACCGAAAAGAAGUUACGCAAAAUGACACGAUGGCACGUCCCCCUAAACUCUUCUGACGAGAAGCGAACUUGGACAAGUGAAAGGACCCCCAGUUCAAGGGAAAAACUCAGCAGUCCUGCAGCCUGGACAGUGGAGGUCAUCGGUAACCAGGUGGGGGUCAAGGGCUC